UCCCUGGCAGUCCAGUGGUUAAGACUCCACACUUUCAAUGCAGGGGGUCCAGUUUCAAUCCCUGGUCAGGGAA
rnacentral:tRNA from 1 species